UACGAAGGGGACUAGCGUUGUUCGGAUUUACUGGGCGUAAAGCGCGUGUAGGCGGCUCGAUAAGUCUGCUGUGAAAGUCCAGGGCUCAACCCUGGGAUGCCGGUGGAUACUGUCGAGCUCGAGUCCGGAAGAGGCGAGUGGAAUUCCUGGUGUAGCGGUGAAAUGCGCAGAUAUCAGGAGGAACACCAAUGGCGAAGGCAGCUCGCUGGGACGUGACUGACGCUGAGACGCGAAAGCGUGGGGAGCAAACAGG
rnacentral:rRNA from 1 species